GACGAACGCUGGCGGCGUGCUUAACACAUGCAAGUCGAACGGAAAGGCCCUGCUUUUGUGGGGUGCUCGAGUGGCGAACGGGUGAGUAACACGUGAGUAACCUGCCCUUGACUUUGGUAUAACUUCAGGAAACUGGGGCUAAUACCGGAUAGGAGCUCCUGCUGCAUGGUGGGGGUUGGAAAGUUUCGGCGGUUGGGGAUGGACUCGCGGCUUAUCAGCUUGUUGGUGGGGUAGUGGCUUACCAAGGCUUUGACGGGUAGCCGGCCUGAGAGGGUGCCCGGCCACAUUGGGACGGAGAUACGGCCGAGACUCCUACGGGAGGCAGCAGUGGGGAAUAUUGCACAAUGGGCGGAAGCCUGAUGCAGCAACGCCGCGUGCGGGAUGACGGCCUUCGGGUUGUAAACCGCUGUCGCCUGUGACGAAGCGUGAGUGACGGUAAUGGGUAAAGAAGCACCGGCUAACUACGUG
rnacentral:rRNA from 1 species